GAUGAACGCUGGCGGCGUGCCUAAUACAUGCAAGUCGAGCGAACGGACGAGAAGCUUGCUUCUCUGAUGUUAGCGGCGGACGGGUGAGUAACACGUGGAUAACCUACCUAUAAGACUGGGAUAACUUCGGGAAACCGGAGCUAAUACCGGAUAAUAUUUUGAACCGCAUGGUUCAAAAGUGAAAGACGGUCUUGCUGUCACUUAUAGAUGGAUCCGCGCUGCAUUAGCUAGUUGGUAAGGUAACGGCUUACCAAGGCAACGAUGCAUAGCCGACCUGAGAGGGUGAUCGGCCACACUGGAACUGAGACACGGUCCAGACUCCUACGGGAGGCAGCAGUAGGGAAUCUUCCGCAAUGGGCGAAAGCCUGACGGAGCAACGCCGCGUGAGUGAUGAAGGUCUUCGGAUCGUAAAACUCUGUUAUUAGGGAAGAACAUAUGUGUAAGUAACUGUGCACAUCUUGACGGUACCUAAUCAGAAAGCCACGGCUAACUGCGUGCCAGCAGCCGCGGUAAUACGUAGGUGGCAAGCGUUAUCCGGAAUUAUUGGGCGUAAAGCGCGCGUAGGCGGUUUUUUAAGUCUGAUGUGAAAGCCCACGGCUCAACCGUGGAGGGUCAUUGGAAACUGGAAAACUUGAGUGCAGAAGAGGAAAGUGGAAUUCCAUGUGUAGCGGUGAAAUGCGCAGAGAUAUGGAGGAACACCAGUGGCGAAGGCGACUUUCUGGUCUGUAACUGACGCUGAUGUGCGAAAGCGUGGGGAUCAAACAGGAUUAGAUACCCUGGUAGUCCACGCCGUAAACGAUGAGUGCUAAGUGUUAGGGGGUUUCCGCCCCUUAGUGCUGCAGCUAACGCAUUAAGCACUCCGCCUGGGGAGUACGACCGCAAGGUUGAAACUCAAAGGAAUUGACGGGGACCCGCACAAGCGGUGGAGCAUGUGGUUUAAUUCGAAGCAACGCGAAGAACCUUACCAAAUCUUGACAUCCUUUGACAACUCUAGAGAUAGAGCUUUCCCCUUCGGGGGACAAAGUGACAGGUGGUGCAUGGUUGUCGUCAGCUCGUGUCGUGAGAUGUUGGGUUAAGUCCCGCAACGAGCGCAACCCUUAAGCUUAGUUGCCAUCAUUAAGUUGGGCACUCUAAGUUGACUGCCGGUGACAAACCGGAGGAAGGUGGGGAUGACGUCAAAUCAUCAUGCCCCUUAUGAUUUGGGCUACACACGUGCUACAAUGGACAAUACAAAGGGCAGCGAAACCGUGAGGUCAAGCAAAUCCCAUAAAGUUGUUCUCAGUUCGGAUUGUAGUCUGCAACUCGACUACAUGAAGCUGGAAUCGCUAGUAAUCGUAGAUCAGCAUGCUACGGUGAAUACGUUCCCGGGUCU
rnacentral:rRNA from 1 species